AUCUAAAAGUAGAAAACUCAUAACAAGGCUAUGUGUGAACAUCAAGAGAGAAUUCAAGAUGGCGGGGAUGACACUCUUUAGUCCAUGUGUGCCUGGUUUUCAUCAUCUCCUUGACUUACACACAUGUGGGUGCCUUUACCUCUGAAGACUUUUUCUCUUCUAACUGAUGAUGCUCCAUUCUCUUCUGACAAAAGCUCCCUGCCAAGGCCUGAUUGAACCUCUGCCCUGUGGUUCCUUGAAACAUCGUCAUAUUCUUGUACUAAAUUCCCCAUUUUCUUAAGCUAGCUCUGGUAAGUUUUUGCCAUUUACAGUCAAAGUGAACUCACUAAUAAAAUAUUC
rnacentral:lncRNA from 1 species